rnacentral:rRNA from 1 species
GACGAACGCUGGCGGCGUGCCUAAUACAUGCAAGUUGAGCGCUGAAGGUUGGUACUUGUUCCAACUGGAUGAGCAGCGAACGGGUGAGUAACGCGUGGGUAAUCUGCCUUUGAGCGGGGGACAACAUUUGGAAACGAAUGCUAAUACCGCAUAAAAACUUUAAACACAAGUUUUAAGUUUGAAAGAUGCAAUUGCAUUACUCAAAGAUGAUCCCGCGUUGUAUUAGCUAGUUGGUGAGGUAAAGGCUCACCAAGGCGAUGAUACAUAGCCGACCUGAGAGGGUGGGCGGCCACAAUGGGACUGAGAAACGGCCCAAACUCCUACGGGAGGCAGCAGUAGGAAAUCUUCGGCAAUGGACGAAAGUCUGACCGAGCAACGCCGCGUGAGUGAAGAAGGUUUUCGGAUCGUAAAACACCGUUGGUAGAGAAGAACAUUAGUGAGAGUGGAAAGCUCAUCAAGUGACAGUAACUACACAGAAAGGGACGGCUAGCUACGUG